rnacentral:rRNA from 1 species
GACGAACGCUGGCGGCGUGCCUAAUACAUGCAAGUAGAACGCACAGUUUAUACCGUAGCUUGCUACACCAUAGACUGUGAGUUGCGAACGGGUGAGUAACGCGUAGGUAACCUGCCUGGUAGCGGGGGAUAACUAUUGGAAACGAUAGCUAAUACCGCAUAAUAUUAAUUAUUGCAUGAUAAUUGAUUGAAAGAUGCAACUGCAUCACUACCAGAUGGACCUGCGUUGUAUUAGCUAGUAGGUGAGGUAACGGCUCACCUAGGCGACGAUACAUAGCCGACCUGGGAGGGUGAUCGGCCACACUGGGACUUGGACACGGCCCAGACUCCUACGGGAGGCAGCAGUAGGGAAUCUUCGGCAAUGGACGAAAGUCUGACCGAGCAACGCCGCGUGAGUGAAGAAGGUUGUCGGAUCGUAAAGCUCUGUUGUAAGGGAAGAACGGGUGUGAGAGUGGAAAGUUCACACUGUGACGGUAUCGUACCAGAAAGGGACGGCUAACUACGUG